ensembl:lncRNA
GGAAGAUGUUGGACCAAUAACUCAAAUCUUCUACUCAAAAAGAAAUCAUAAUUUAGUAGCAGCAGCCACUAUCCAGCUAUGACCAAUCAAGGCAAUUUUUGCUGGAGAACAAUACAAUGUCUCACCAUUGCACUGCUUCCUCCUCGGUGUGGAUGUCAACGUCCGUUCAGGGGUCCACAUAUGGUGACAGAAGAACACUUGUUGGCACCAUCAGUUCCCAGCUCUGGACCUCUUCCAGCUCAGCGUAGCUCCAGACAUGUAUUGCCAGGAUUCAAACGCCUUUGCAUCUUGUCAUCUGGCCUCUGGAGUUGAGGGUGACAUAAACGGUAUACGGCUGCUAAAUGUCACGCAGGCUGAGGUGUCAGCGGAGCACAACUGAGAGCUCUGGAAUUCAAAUCAGGACCCUUGUUGCUGUGAUGUGCUGGGAGAAUCAUAGAAUCAUAGGAUGGCCUGGGUUGAAAAGGACCACAAUCAUCAUCUAGUUUCAACCUCCCUGCUAUGUGCAGGGUCACCAACCACCAGACCAGGCUGCCCAGAGCCACAUGCAGCCUGGGUGAACCCCUGCUCCAUCCCAAACCUGCGCAGGCUGCCACAGGUUUUCCUCUGCGCAAAGGCUCCUGAAAACAGGCUUUGUAUGGUACCCGUAAUUGAAGAGGAGAAAUCUGAGAUUUCUGCAGGCAUUUAAGGACAUAUGUAUAGGAUUUAGACCUCAUCUGGCCGUGGUGAAAAAUGAUGUGACGCAGUUUUUUAUUCUGCACUUGACACCCUUAUGGAAGGCAACGUGCCUCAUUGAUUCCAAGCUCCUCAAAGGUCAAGGCACUAGGAACAAAGAUUUUUUGGAAGCAGCCCAGGAAAAACUUUAAAAUUGGACUCCACAUACCCAGAAAAACAGAACUGUUAAUUGUUACCCCUUCUGUUGCUAUUAAGCUUCGUAUGAACACUGAACAUAUGUUCUGCGAUCAUGUACUUUUAUAUUAAAAUGUUAUUGAGUCACCAGGUGAAACGUGUAUUAAGUGCACAGCUGAAAAUAGACAGUAGGUUUAAAUUUUGACAGCAAACAGCUGUAGGAUUUCUAAAACUUAAUUCAAAUAAUGUAAUCAAUAGGUUAUGCUACAGUUUCAAG